rnacentral:rRNA from 1 species
UACGGAGGGAGCUAGCGUUGUUCGGAAUUACUGGGCGUAAAGCGCACGUAGGCGGCUUUGUAAGUUAGAGGUUAAAGCCCGGGGCUCAACCCCGGAAUUGCCUUUAAGACUGCAUCGCUUGAAUCCGGGAGAGGUGAGUGGAAUUCCGAGUGUAGAGGUGAAAUUCGUAGAUAUUCGGAAGAACACCAGUGGCGAAGGCGGCUCACUGGACCGGUAUUGACGCUGAGGUGCGAAAGCGUGGGGAGCAAACAGG